rnacentral:lncRNA from 1 species
CAGCCUGGCCCCGUUCCCGGUGUCUCCUGACGCCGGGACAUGUCCCGAGCUCGCAGGGCUGUAACAUUCAACUCCAAAUUCUUCCCUCCACCCACGUGCCCGGGCCAAGCCAAGGGAGGCAAAUGUUUCCCUGGCUGGGGGCUUUGAAGUGGCCACACGGAGAUGAAAGGGGGGGAUUUUGGAGCUGGUGUGAGGCGUGAACAAACUUCCUUCCCGCUUUCGUGCUUUAUUUUCCAGCUAGAAAACGUGAUGUUCCUUUGGUUUUUAAGGAAAUGGGGGGAGAAAAGAUGGGGCUGGCAGGCUGGGGGGGUUGCUGUGGGACGGGGGAGCCCGGCCCUGGCAGUGACCCCGGGUUUGUUUUGGGUAGGGCUGACCCAAACACAGCCGGCCAUUCCCGGCCGGGCCGUUGUGAGCGGGAUCUACAGAAAAUCCGCGGAACACCGUGUCCCCAAACAGAAUUAGUUCAAGACAGGUGGACUCGGGGCCUUUGGCUCGGGCUCAAAGGCGAGUUGGAGAUGGGAUUUGAUGGGAUGGGGACGGAGCAUAUGGUAUCCAUAGCUGGAAAAGUACUGGGCUGGCGGGAGCAGGUAGGGCAGGGGGAGCUGCCUGUGGAGCCAGAGGGUCCCCCCCCGUCACUGCCACGAGUGUGGGGUGCACCCCCUUCCUGGGACCCCCCAUGGAGGCAGGGGUGGUUUUUACUUGUAUUCCAAUGGGGGGAUCGGUGCCAGUGGGAUUCUGUUGGUGCAGCUCGGGGGACUCAGCUGGUCGUGGCCCUGCUGGUUUGGCACAGGGGCCUGCUGGGGGAGAGGAGCAUCCCCGAGGACACCCCCCAGGCCCUGGGGACACGGCGUGUCCCACGGGAAGGGCUCACCCACGGGAAGGGCUCACCCACGGGAAGGGCUCGGUGGCUGCGGGAUAUGGGCGGUGGGGGGGAGCAGCACCAAAGAGUUUGGACUGAGGGCAAUCCCGGGGGACAAUCCUGGGAGCAACUGUGGGGGAAAUUCUGAAGAGGCCAGCCCUGGGGGACAAUCCUGGGAGCAACUGUGN